GCCUCCGAUGAUGAUCAAAACAUAACUUUCGUUCUUCCGAGAUUUUAUAUUAUGCGGAGAAUUUAUGGAGACCUGAACUGAGUGGAGGC